rnacentral:tRNA from 1 species
CGGGAUGGGGCAACCAGUGAUGAUGCCUGGGGACAGAGGGUCGUCGGUUCGAAUCCGGCCGUCCCGACCA